AAUUGUUGAAAAUGAUUCUUCAUGGAAUGCAAUGGAACCUACCUUGUGAACUGUGAGUAAGGUGUUUGUUCUUGGAUUUCUAAGGAUGAAACCGGAAAGGAA